rnacentral:rRNA from 1 species
AUGAACGCUGGCGGCGUGCCUAAUACAUGCAAGUCGAGCGAACAGAUGAGGAGCUUGCUCCUCUGACGUUAGCGGCGGACGGGUGAGUAACACGUGGAUAACCUACCUAUAAGACUGGGAUAACUUCGGGAAACCGGAGCUAAUACCGGAUAAUAUAUUGAACCGCAUGGUUCAAUAGUGAAAGACGGUUUUGCUGUCACUUAUAGAUGGAUCCGCGCCGCAUUAGCUAGUUGGUAAGGUAACGGCUUACCAAGGCAACGAUGCGUAGCCGACCUGAGAGGGUGAUCGGCCACACUGGAACUGAGACACGGUCCAGACUCCUACGGGAGGCAGCAGUAGGGAAUCUUCCGCAAUGGGCGAAAGCCUGACGGAGCAACGCCGCGUGAGUGAUGAAGGUCUUCGGAUCGUAAAACUCUGUUAUUAGGGAAGAACAAAUGUGUAAGUAACUAUGCACGUCUUGACGGUACCUAAUCAGAAAGCCACGGGUAACUACGUG